AGUUGGCUGUGAUGAUCUAUACACAGCUUUAGCCAGUUCUGCUUCAGAAAAUUCUUGAUUGAUAGAGCUGUUGACUCUCUGAGCCUUUU